AUACGGAGGAUGCGAGCGUUAUCCGGAUUUAUUGGGUUUAAAGGGUGCGUAGGCGGACGAUUAAGUCAGCUGUGAAAUGCCCGCGCUUAACGCGGGAAGUGCAGUUGAUACUGGUUGUCUGGAGUGCCGUUGCCGUGGGGGGAAUGUGUAGUGUAGCGGUGAAAUGCAUAGAUAUUACACAGAACGCCGAUUGUGAAGACACCUCACGAAGCGGUAACUGACGCUGAGGCACGAAAGCGUGGGGAUCGAACAGGAUUAGAUACCCUGGUAGUCCGCACAGUAAACGAUGAAUACUUGUUUUCGGCGAUAUAAUGUCGGAGGCAAAGCGAAAGCGAUAAGUAUUCCACCUGGGGAGUACGCCGGCAACGGUGAAACUCAAAGGAAUUGACGG
rnacentral:rRNA from 1 species